AGGAGAUACGGAUGUUGGCCCAGUUGCUGAUAUUAACAUACAAGGAGCAACGUGUUUGGCAACAUCAUCAGAGACAGUUUCGCCAAUAAAGAAAAUGCUGGUUGCAGAAGAAAAUAUGAUGACAUGGCCAGCCAAGAAGAACACACUACGACUUCCACUCCCACAAAG